CCCGUGAUCCGAACUACAUCAAGUCAUGACAGACAAAGCAACAAUACAUAAUUGGAAAGAGAAAUUGAAAGACAUCGAUCAAUAUAAACGCAAACUUUCAAGAAAAUUGGGCAUAGGAUAACUUAUCGUAGCAAUCAAACCAAUCAAUUACGUUCGUUAGACCUCUUGCUAACCUGUGAGCCACAAUAUUACAAAAUUCAUCAAAGUUGAGAAGAACUAUGAGAAGCAUUGAAAAUCCAGAUUAGUUUGACAAAACACUUCCAAACCAAAUAGGUCAAUGACCCCCUGCUGCAGUCCAUUGUGCAACCCCCAAGUUGAACUACACCUCAAAA